AACGAACGCUGGCGGCAUGCCUAACACAUGCAAGUCGAACGAGACCUUCGGGUCUAGUGGCGCACGGGUGCGUAACGCGUGGGAACCUGCCCUUAGGUUCGGAAUAACUCCCCGAAAGGGGUGCUAAUACCGGAUAAUGUCUUCGGACCAAAGAUUUAUCGCCUUUGGAUGGGCCCGCGUUGGAUUAGCUAGUUGGUAGGGUAAAAGCCUACCAAGGCGACGAUCCAUAGCUGGUCUGAGAGGAUGAUCAGCCACACUGGGACUGAGACACGGCCCAGACUCCUACGGGAGGCAGCAGUGGGGAAUAUUGGACCAUGGGCGAAAGACUGAUCCAGCAAUGCCGCGUGAGUGAUGAAGGCCUUAGGGUUGUAAAGCUCUUUUAACCGGGAUGAUAAUGACAGUACCGGGAGAAUAAGCUCCGGCUAACUCCGUG
rnacentral:rRNA from 1 species